GUUAUAACCGGCGAUUUCCGAAUGGGGAAACCCAGUGUGUUUCGACACACUAUCAUUAACUGAAUCCAUAGGUUAAUGAGGCGAACCGGGGGAACUGAAACAUCUAAGUACCCCGAGGAAAAGAAAUCAACCGAGAUUCCCCCAGUAGCGGCGAGCGAACGGGGAGCAGCCCAGAGCCUGAAUCAGUGUGUGUGUUAGUGGAAGCGUCUGGAAAGGCGCGCGAUACAGGGUGACAGCCCCGUACACAAAAAUGCACAUGCUGUGAGCUCGAUGAGUAGGGCGGGACACGUGGUAUCCUGUCUGAAUAUGGGGGGACCAUCCUCCAAGGCUAAAUACUCCUGACUGACCGAUAGUGAACCAGUACCGUGAGGGAAAGGCGAAAAGAACCCCGGCGAGGGGAGUGAAAAAGAACCUGAAACCGUGUACGUACAAGCAGUGGGAGCCUCUUUAUGGGGUGACUGCGUACCUUUUGUAUAAUGGGUCAGCGACUUAUAUUCUGUAGCAAGGUUAACCGAAUAGGGGAGCCGAAGGGAAACCGAGUCUUAACUGGGCGUUAAGUUGCAGGGUAUAGACCCGAAACCCGGUGAUCUAGCCAUGGGCAGGUUGAAGGUUGGGUAACACUAACUGGAGGACCGAACCGACUAAUGUUGAAAAAUUAGCGGAUGACUUGUGGCUGGGGGUGAAAGGCCAAUCAAACCGGGAGAUAGCUGGUUCUCCCCGAAAGCUAUUUAGGUAGCGCCUCGUGAAUUCAUCUCCGGGGGUAGAGCACUGUUUCGGCAAGGGGGUCAUCCCGACUUACCAACCCGAUGCAAACUGCGAAUACCGGAGAAUGUUAUCACGGGAGACACACGGCGGGUGCUAACGUCCGUCGUGAAGAGGGAAACAACCCAGACCGCCAGCUAAGGUCCCAAAGUCAUGGUUAAGUGGGAAACGAUGUGGGAAGGCCCAGACAGCCAGGAUGUUGGCUUAGAAGCAGCCAUCAUUUAAAGAAAGCGUAAUAGCUCACUGGUCGAGUCGGCCUGCGCGGAAGAUGUAACGGGGCUAAACCAUGCACCGAAGCUGCGGCAGCGACGCUUAUGCGUUGUUGGGUAGGGGAGCGUUCUGUAAGCCUGUGAAGGUGUGCUGUGAGGCAUGCUGGAGGUAUCAGAAGUGCGAAUGCUGACAUAAGUAACGAUAAAGCGGGUGAAAAGCCCGCUCGCCGGAAGACCAAGGGUUCCUGUCCAACGUUAAUCGGGGCAGGGUGAGUCGACCCCUAAGGCGAGGCCGAAAGGCGUAGUCGAUGGGAAACAGGUUAAUAUUCCUGUACUUGGUGUUACUGCGAAGGGGGGACGGAGAAGGCUAUGUUGGCCGGGCGACGGUUGUCCCGGUUUAAGCGUGUAGGCUGGUUUUCCAGGCAAAUCCGGAAAAUCAAGGCUGAGGCGUGAUGACGAGGCACUACGGUGCUGAAGCAACAAAUGCCCUGCUUCCAGGAAAAGCCUCUAAGCAUCAGGUAACAUCAAAUCGUACCCCAAACCGACACAGGUGGUCAGGUAGAGAAUACCAAGGCGCUUGAGAGAACUCGGGUGAAGGAACUAGGCAAAAUGGUGCCGUAACUUCGGGAGAAGGCACGCUGAUAUGUAGGUGAGGUCCCUCGCGGAUGGAGCUGAAAUCAGUCGAAGAUACCAGCUGGCUGCAACUGUUUAUUAAAAACACAGCACUGUGCAAACACGAAAGUGGACGUAUACGGUGUGACGCCUGCCCGGUGCCGGAAGGUUAAUUGAUGGGGUUAGCGGUAACGCGAAGCUCUUGAUCGAAGCCCCGGUAAACGGCGGCCGUAACUAUAACGGUCCUAAGGUAGCGAAAUUCCUUGUCGGGUAAGUUCCGACCUGCACGAAUGGCGUAAUGAUGGCCAGGCUGUCUCCACCCGAGACUCAGUGAAAUUGAACUCGCUGUGAAGAUGCAGUGUACCCGCGGCAAGACGGAAAGACCCCGUGAACCUUUACUAUAGCUUGACACUGAACAUUGAGCCUUGAUGUGUAGGAUAGGUGGGAGGCUUUGAAGUGUGGACGCCAGUCUGCAUGGAGCCGACCUUGAAAUACCACCCUUUAAUGUUUGAUGUUCUAACGUUGACCCGUAAUCCGGGUUGCGGACAGUGUCUGGUGGGUAGUUUGACUGGGGCGGUCUCCUCCUAAAGAGUAACGGAGGAGCACGAAGGUUGGCUAAUCCUGGUCGGACAUCAGGAGGUUAGUGCAAUGGCAUAAGCCAGCUUGACUGCGAGCGUGACGGCGCGAGCAGGUGCGAAAGCAGGUCAUAGUGAUCCGGUGGUUCUGAAUGGAAGGGCCAUCGCUCAACGGAUAAAAGGUACUCCGGGGAUAACAGGCUGAUACCGCCCAAGAGUUCAUAUCGACGGCGGUGUUUGGCACCUCGAUGUCGGCUCAUCACAUCCUGGGGCUGAAGUAGGUCCCAAGGGUAUGGCUGUUCGCCAUUUAAAGUGGUACGCGAGCUGGGUUUAGAACGUCGUGAGACAGUUCGGUCCCUAUCUGCCGUGGGCGCUGGAGAACUGAGGGGGGCUGCUCCUAGUACGAGAGGACCGGAGUGGACGCAUCACUGGUGUUCGGGUUGUCAUGCCAAUGGCACUGCCCGGUAGCUAAAUGCGGAAGAGAUAAGUGCUGAAAGCAUCUAAGCACGAAACUUGCCCCGAGAUGAGUUCUCCCUGACUCCUUGAGAGUCCUGAAGGAACGUUGAAGACGACGACGUUGAUAGGCCGGGUGUGUAAGCGCAGCGAUGCGUUGAGCUAACCGGUACUAAUGAACCGUGAGGCUUAACCUUACAACGCCGAAG
rnacentral:rRNA from 1 species